rnacentral:pre_miRNA from 1 species
GAAGCUUCCAAUCUCCCUCAAAGGCUUCCAACAUACAUCCAUGACCGCUAUGGGAAUGGUGGAUGCCUUUGGGGGGAUUGAAGGCUU